AUAUAUAUAUAUAUAUAUAUGGUAAUGGAACUUUACAAAGAUGGAAAAGGAUAUAAAAAGAUAUCCAAAGCCUUGAAAAUGCCAGUCAAUACUGUUCAAUCACUUAUCAAGAAGUGGAAAAUUCGGGGAUCUCUUGAUACCAAGCCAAGGUCGGGUAGACCAAGAAAGAUUUCAGCCACAACCACCAGAAGAAUUAUUCGGGAUACAAAGGAAAACCCACAGGUAACCUCAGGAGAAAUACAGGCUGCUCUGGAAAAAGAUGGUGUGGUUGUUUCAAGGAGCACAAUAGAAGAUACUUGAACAAAAAUGAGCUGCAUGGUCGAGUUGCCAGAAAUAAGCCUUUACUGCACCAAUGCCACAAAAAACACCUUGACAUGCCUCACAGCUUCUGGCACACUGUAAUUUGGAGUGACGAGACCAAAAUAGAGCUUGUUUGGAGAGGGGUCAACAAGGCCUAUAGUGAAAAGAAUACCAUCCCCACUGUGAAGCAUGGUGGUGGCUCACUGAUGUUUUGAGGGUGUGUGAGCUCUAAAGGCAGCUUGUGAAUCUUGUGAAAAUUGAUGGCAAAAUGAAUGCAGCAUGUUAUCAGAAAAUACUGGCAGACAAUUUGUAUUCUUCUGCACGAAAGCUGUGCACGACAAAUGACCCUAAGCACAAGGCCAAGUUGACCCUCCAGUGGUUAAAGCAGAAAAAGGUGAAGGUUCUGGAGUGGCCAUCAUAGUCUCCUGACCUUUAUAUAAUCGAGCCACUCUGGGGAGAUCUCAAACAUGCGGUUCAUGCAAGAUGACCAAAGACUUUGCAUGACCUGGAGGCAUUUUGCCAAGAUGAAUGGGCAGCUAUACCACCUACAAGAAUUUGGGACCUCAUAGACAACUAUUACAAAAGACUGCACGCUGUCAUUGAUGCUAAAGGGGGCAAUACACAGUAUUAAGAACUAAGGGUAUGCAGACUUUUGAACAGGGGUCAUUUCAAUUUUUUUCUUUGUUGCCAUGUUUUGUUUUAUGAUUGUGCCAUUCUGUUAUAACCUACAGUUGAAUAUGAAUCCCAUAAGAAACAAAAGAAAUGUGUUUUGCCUGCUCACUCAUGUUUUCUUUAAAAAUGGUACAUAUAUUACCAAUUCUCCAAGGGUAUACAAACUUAUGAGCACAACUGUAUAUAUUAACAUAACGUGAAACCAAAUUAUUGGCAUAGCAGAUCUUGUACACUGUGUAAUAUAGGGUAUUAAUUGAUGGUUUGUGCUCCUAAGAUCAUCUAAUAUGAUUCAUGUUUUAUAAAGGCACUAUCUGUACUACUGAUCUUUUGUAGUGUCUAGUAGUGUCUGUUUGGAUCUGCCAUAUAACAUUAAGAGUAAAGGUUUUUACUACACAUACAUACAUUUUCUAUGUCUGUUUGGAUCUGGCAAACACAUGUUUAUAACUGAGAGAAAAUGAUACAAACCUUAUGUCACAGUAUUCCUCUGAUUUCUCUGAUUCCUCUGAAAGUUUGCGGCCUUGGAACAUAUCUGUAUGUGCUUGAUUCCAUGAGAGCAUAAACGAAGUAAAUGAAGCGUGAUUGGUUGAAGAUAGAAUGUGCUACGAUUGGUCCGAGUAAUGUGGCCAUUAUCUGAUUGGCUUGAGUAGAUGAUGGGUGGAGUCCACCUAUUUGUGGAUUGCCCGCAGCUCUCACGCAAGAAAUGUUUCAGAAUUCACAAAUUGCCCUCACACUUUGAGAACCGCUGGCUUACAGCGCCUUUGAGUUAAGAAAACCCUUGGUUAUAAAUGUCUUUGUGUAAAUAUGCAACAUGAUCACACAGGAAACUGAAAAGCUGCCUCCAAAUCUUCAUGUACUCUGAAUUCAAUCGCAUUCUGUCGAAUUACUGACAAGCGGCAUCCCUCAUCAGACAAUUUUGCAUCAAUUUAAAAGUGUUCACAUUUCCCUGUGGUGCUACUGAUACAGGUUCUGGUGCCAUGGAAACCAGGAGGUUAAUGCAUUCACA